GGGGGACAAGAAGGUGUCGGAAGCAUUAGCAGUAAGAAAACAUGUCAACAGAAUAAAAUAUUAACCAAUGACAGGAAAGAUCGGGAAAUCCCACCCCCAUUUCUAAGCCAAACACCGGGUCAGCCCUUAGCUCUUGGCCGGUGGAGGCAUCACCUCUCUCGGCUAGCUUUUUUAUAAUGUCGCCUGCGGAAAAAAACCCAACCUGUCCACAGACUCGGUGUCUUAAUACUCACCUUCAUACAGAGGAACAGCCUCACUUCUCCAUAUUUGCCACAGUGUUUUCGAACAUGUCACAGCAGUAAAUCUCGCAGCUCAUGCUCUGCAUUCCGGAGAGAUUUCUUCUCAAGAGCUGCUGCUCUCUCGGUCGCUCUAUAGUCUCUAUAGAGACUUCGUAAUUAUAGCGUCGGCUGUUUUGACGAUUAGGCUGGAUUUGCCUCACACUAGUCCAGGCUAUGUUAACCGUGUGUAUACUGAAUCGAGACUCAAACAGGCUCGAUUUCCCCGGGCGGGAGCCGCGUAUCUGUGCGUGUUCCUGGUGGGGCUGACGGGGAGGCGGCGGCAGAGUAAAGCGGGCUGGAAAAGACCAACUCUGAUGCUGCGUGGAGCAAAAACAGAGGAAGCCCGAUGAAUAAUGAUGCGUGAAUUUUGCGAGAAAAAUGAGGGAGAAAAAAGCGAUGUGUUGACAGCAUGGAGAGAUUAAAUUAGCAGCUGCAGCGCCGGGAACAUUGAAUCAUAUUAAGGAUCAGCAGCAGAGGAGCGGAGGAAGAGGAGAGGCUGUACCUGCAGGCCUCUGCUUUCAGGAACCCGGUACCGCAAAACAUCAGGACAUCCACUAAAUAGCCCACAGAAAACCUCUCACCCAGGGCAGGGAAGUUUAAACAAAUACGCUUUAUUCUUAUUUCGAUUCUUAUGAAAACACCUGGAGAAUGAAAACGUUAAAACAGCCUGAAAAUCACUUAAAACGCGACAGAAACAGCGAAGCUGCAGUAAAUUAAAAUCACGCCUGAACGACAGAUAUCCGAAAUAUCGGUUUUUUUUUUUAACCUCUUGAAAGAUCGAAUUACGCAACAGAGACACGUCACGUCUGAUCACACGCACUGCAUAUGAAUGACUCGGUCUGAAUGAAACGAACCUGAAAAGUUCUGAAUGGAUGGCACUGCUGUCCCUCCUGCGGUCCCGCAGUGACGCUGUCACAGCGUGACGCUGGUCUCAAAGGGUGGCACGACAGGAGCCCGCAGGAACACCGAGUCCAGACUUUUCACACAGUUUCAUUUCAGCGUUGCUUCAUUUGAAUUUUCUAAUAUUUAUCCAGCUGACAGAAAUUAUUAGAUCUAAGCCAGAAAACGAGGUUUCACACAGCUGCGCUGUUCAGCAUCAGGGUUCUAACAUAUGGUUUGAUGGGCCUGAAUUAAUCACUUGUUGCACACUAGUUAAAAUCAGCAGCCUGUUUUCUCCACAAUACUUCGGAAACAGCUCCGGUGUAUUUUUAACAUCACGGAAUUCAGUCAAAAUAAGAACAAAAAAAAGAAAAAACAAGAACGAAACUUUAAACAUAAAAACAUCUCAUUUUCGUCCCUAAAGCACAGCCUGGAUGUUUCAGUGUGAGCGGAGUCUUCCUCUGCUCAGUCCACCGCGCACUUUUUUUCAACCCUGUGCAGCUAAAUGGAGCGCUUACUGAAUGUCUCCAAAAACAUAUUUAGAAAAGAAAUAAAAAUAAUACUCUGCAGAAUGUGCGUUUACAGCCCUCUCUACAGCUCUGCAUGCAUGUGUGUUUUGAAUCCACGUCUCUUUAAGUCCCGUCUUAACGCAAAAUUCAGUGUGUAUCGUUUAAAAAACUAGUCGAGUUCGUUUUUAUUGAGGACGUAGAAUCCACGCCAAUACUGAAUUGCCGAACAGUUGAUUUGUAAUUUAGAGUCACCGUCGGGAGCCAAUUUACACUCUCCAACUGCACAGCCAUACACGAAAGAACAGCACUGUGUUGGUUUGUAGCUGAAGUGAAAUGCUGAAGCCAGCUGGGAGUUCGUGGUGGUAAAAACUCAAGCAGAGAGACGGUCAUGGGUUCAAAUCUAAUUUGCCUUGUGCGCAACACAAACUUGGGAAAAGCUGCUGAGUAGCAACAGAACUCGCGGCCCAAUGCUUUGCCUAGAAGGGAGCUUGUUACUGCGCACACUCGCUGUGUAACAGGCCUUCCUCCAAGAGUGAAACUGUGAGCUGCGAGGAACAUUGCACACUUCAGAGAAGGCCAGCAGACCUCUUGCUCUUUAUUCUGAAAAUUAUAUUUUGAACUGCAGCUGGCAACAAGCAAGUUUAUUGAUAACCCUAAAUGGAAAGUGGUGCACAGUUGUGCAACCGCAUCAAUUGUUGGCACUUGGCCUAAAGAAUAACAAACUAACAACAUCUCUGAUGACCAUAACGAUGCCGGGAUGAUUCUGGGAAACUGUUCAGUGGAGCUGGACACUGAUCUCACCAAAAACCUGCAGGACUCUUCUUAUAUUCUGCUGCCGGCUGCUGACCCGAUUAGUUAAUACUGUCACAGUCCUGCUGAAUAUUCACAAGUUUUCUUCUCUAAUCACACAUUUCCAAGCAGGAGCUCUGGUCAGAAUCAAGAAAUUUCAAAGUUUGAGCAGUUUAUAUGUCAGGGAGCCAACUGUGUCAUCUUCACUGACUGAAAUCAGGGAGCAGAUUUAGGAGCUCAGUAACAGCACACAUGUUCCUCUGAGUUCAUGUAAACAGAGCUGCUCAAGUUCAGUGAUUCAGAAUUUCUUUCCUUGCACUCCCACGUCACUGCCCACUUGUUAGAAAUCAAUAAUUGUUUACAUUUAAAACAUUUUAGGGAUUUUGGUGCGUGUGGAACUUUUGUUACACUUCACAUGUGUCUGUGGUGGUGACGGACACUUCCUCUGUAUUAAAAUGUGCACCUCUGAAGAUAUUUCAUAAUGUAAAGUGUUUGCAAAAACAUGAUAAAAUAAAAUGACUUUCAUUUGCAAACUGCUGUGUCUUUUCAGUUUAUGUUGCAUAAUGCUGAAGUUCCUCUGGUGAAGUGGCACAUCCUCCCAGCUUUGUUCGUAAUGGAAUCUUGCACAUCAGCCUAAACAAACACACAAAGGUUCAC
ensembl:lncRNA